ensembl:lncRNA
CACAAUUCCUGCUUUCACCAUUUCUUCAAGCUGCUCUUUUACAACAAACUGCUUGGCAGGUGACGUGGUAAGGAUGCUGUUUGAUAGGGACCUGGUGGUUGGUAUAAAUACAGUGUUUCAGAACAUCAGUACGUCCAUGUUGUAAAACACACACUUGAGGGUUGGUUUCUAGAAUAGUCUUUAACAUUUGUUUGUCAAGGGGAUAUAGAUGUGCUUCACUUACUGCUGUGUCAAUUAACGUUUGUACAUUUGCCUCAACAGAUGCUGUUAUGAAUGCAGGUUGGGGUGGUGGAACAGAACUUAAUAGUGAGAGGGAUGGGUUGAGUGUCCCUGGAGGCUGCUCUGGUUGUUGGCCUGAAGGGCUAGGUAUGCUGUGAGGGACAUUAGGUAUACUGGCAUUACCAGGUUGAAAAGGAUACUCCUCUUGUGCGGUAGUCUUGAAUGAAUAUUUUCUAUCGAUGACAUUCAUUUGUAAGCCACUGAAGAAAAUGAAAUCCAACCCUAAAAUCACAGCGUAUGCAAGUGCCUGGGAGGACAGGAUAACAACAGGUACGGUGGGCCAAGUGACCAAGGCUUGAGUUCUCCUGGCAAGAAGAGCUUUCUCCACAGGCUUUCAUGGAUCAUGGUAUAGUUUGCACCUGUAUCCAGAAUAGCCUUUCCAUACCAACUGCCAAUACAGAUUGGAAUGAUAAGCUGUUGCGGAAUGACAGCAGAAGGGACAGGGGCUGGUUUAGAGGGUGCUUUCUUUAAGUUCUUAGAAUUUGAUGUUUUGUUCGUUGUGGCCAUGAUAAAAUUGUUUGUUGCUUGACCUCCAGGCUUACAAGACUAAAAUGGGCAUGGAAUGGGCUAGUGCUGUUUUGCAGAUUGGUUUGUGGUUAGGGAGGCAUAAUGUGGACAGAAACCAGGUGAGUGGUUUCCUUUACAUCUCCAACACUGAAUUUGUGUUUUUUCAGGUUGCUUGUUACUGGUGGGAUUCUGUGACACUUCAGAUUGUAGUUUUUGGCCCAUGCACAUUUCAAAUUGCAACUGCAGCUCAUGGUCUUUCUCCAGUUUGUGUCCUAGCUUUACAAGCUCUUCCACCGUGCUCACACAUCCACGCAGCUAACUGGCAAG